GAAAUAAAUUGGUUAAAUAAAAGCUGCUAACUUUAUAUUUUAAUGGUUUAAUUCCAUUUUUAUUUCU
rnacentral:tRNA from 1 species